rnacentral:lncRNA from 1 species
AACCCUAAUUUUCAUUUUUGCUUAGAGGCUAGUCAAGCGCUUAGAGAGAGGGGAGAGAGGGAGAUGAGGGGUGAUUGCUUUUUUCUCUUGAUUUCUUCAUCUUAGUGGGUGGAUGAAGGAAGGAGGCUAGUCCUCAUCUCGUAAAGAUGAUGUCCUCAUGAUUUAGCUGUGUUUGAUGUCUCGAUUCGUGCUAAAUCUUUAAUUCCGAGCGUUUUUCUUUUUCGGUAUUUUCGGAACUAUUUUCGAGAAUUUUUCCUUUUUUGCGUUUCAAAUCUCAUGAGAUUUGUUAGGGGAAAAUGUUGCUAGGACUCUUGUGAACAUAUUUGAUAUGAUCCUCCAUCAAAUCCCCAUGAAUUUGGCUUGAAUUUGAGUUUUCACCAAACCGUGUUCUUCGUGUAGGGUUUCGAUUUUUUCCAAAAUCCGUACUUGAGCUUUUUGAGAUCUUUUCCAUGGAUCUAUUAGCCUUUAGGGUUGCGCAUGUAUGGCUCAAGUUUUAUCUCGAUUCAUGGAGUUUUGAAGGAGUAUUUUUCGUUUGAAGUUUAGUGCUUUGUUCUUGGGGUUCUUGCGUGUUCUUCUGUUCUUCCUCGUGC